AAAUAUGCAUGUAAUCCUUCGAAUCUUGCUUCAAUCCAGCUCAAAAAUGCUUGUGGAUCAUAGAUUAAUCAAGAUCAAAGCAAUGUUUGUGAAGAAAAUUGAAGAAAAGUUGAGAGAAAAAAAUGUGAAGAUUGGUGAAUGAGAUCUAGAUCUGAGCAAAAUGAAAUGUUAACCAGGUUUUCUGUUAUGAUUAUCUUUAUAUAUGGUGUGCUAAUGAAACUCCUAAUCAUAAUUAGGCAAAUGCAAU
rnacentral:lncRNA from 1 species